GUGCUAGCUUCGGCAGCACAUAUACCAAAAUUGGAACAUUACAGAGAAGAUUAGCAUGGCCCCUGCUUAAGGAUGACACGCUAUCAUCGUGGAGCGGUACCAUAUUUU
rnacentral:snRNA from 1 species